UCAGAUUUGAAAACAGAAAACGAGGAGAGCUGUGAUGUCAUCCACAUGUCUGAUAUGCAGUUACAUAGAACUCUGAUAUUUGAAAGAAAUCCUUUACUGCAAAGAGCAGUUCCAUGUAACAAGUCCUCAUUUACAAUCUAUAUAUAAAGAGGAGGUGGUGUGUUACAGUGGUUGAGAAGAGUACUUUGGAGUCAGAAGGUCCAGGUUCUAGCUAUUUGGACUUGGGGCCUUGUGGAGAAGGACUUUGUGUUUUUGAGACAGGAUGCAUAUCAUUUGGGCAAAGUCUUCAGUGUAAAAGAUGUUAUCAAGGAGCAGAUUGCUGGCUUAUCAAGAAGAGGAAUGAAUGCUAGGGAAGUGGGAUAUAGAAGAUCAAAGAAGAAUUCUUUCUGAGAUGCCAACAGCACUAUCCCUACCAGUUCUAUAGGCUGUAUUCACUGAGAUGGCCAAACCAAAGAAGGAGAAAUCGUUGCUUCCUAGUGGCACUUAGGAGCAUCCAGCAGCACAUGACAUCUGCCUCUUCGCUUGAGAAGCCUCUAAG
rnacentral:lncRNA from 1 species